rnacentral:rRNA from 1 species
AGGGAGUGCCCACUUAGAACCCUCUCUCACCGAGGAAUCAAUGAGGGCAGUCCAGUGCGCAUGCCUCGGUCAUUCGAGCUCCGAUAGCUUAUCUGAAGUAGUGCCAGUAAACAGCUGUAAGCUGAAACUUGGGCUAGCCUGCGUGAUCUCUCACGUGUGGCACUUGUCACGCCUGAGUCCUCCAUGAUGACAGAACAUCAUGCCUUCUAGUGAGGCGUGCUGAGGGAGUCAGAACAUAUUACUAUCGACACAAAUCACGAGGUUGCAAUGCAUGUCCUUUGCUGGAAUACGACUAGCAUGGGAUAAUAUAAUAUGGGCGUGCGUUUCUAUCUUGGUUGUUUUGAAGAGACCCUGCAAUGAUCACAGGAACAGUCGGGGGUAUCAGUAUCAGUGGUCAGAGGUAAAUUAUUGGAUUUACUGAAGACUAAAUAGUGCGAAAGCAUCUGCCAGGGAUGUUUUCAUUCAUCAGUGAACGAAGUCAGGGGAUCGAAGACGAUCAGAUACCGUCGUAGUCUUAACCGUAAACUAUGCCGACUAGGGAUCGGGCGAUGUUUUAAUUUCGACUCGCUCGGCACCUUCCGAGAAAUCAAAGUUUUUUGGUUCUGGGGGGAUUAUGGUCCGCAAGGCUGAAACUUAAAGAAAUUGACGGAAGGUCCCCACCCGGCGUGGAGCUUGCGGCUUAAUUUGACUCAACACGGGGAAACUCACCAGGUCCAGAUGAAAUAAGGAUUGACAGAUUGAGAGCUCUUUCCUGCUUUUUCAGGUGGUGGUGCAUGGCCGUUCUUACUUCGUGGGGUGACUAGUCCCAUUAAAUCCGAUAACGAGCGAGACCUUACUCUGCUAAAUAGCCAGGCUAACUUUGGUUGGUCGCCCGCUUCUCAGACAGACUAUCAACUCAAGUUGAUGGAAGUUCGAGGCAAUAACAGGUCCCUGAUGCCCUUAGAUGUUCUGGGCCGCCCGCGCGCUACACUGACAGAGCCAACGAGUUCUUUUCCUUGUUAGAAAGAAUUGGGUAAUCUUGUUAAACUCUGUCGUGCUGGGGAUAAAGCAUUGCAAUUAUUGCUUUUCACCGAGGAAUCCCUAGUAAGCGCGUGUCAUCAGCCUGCCUUGAUUACGUCCCUGACCUUUGUACACACCGCCCGUCGAUACUACCGAUUGAAUGGCUCAGUGAGGCCUUCGGACUGGCUAGAGGAGGUUGGCAACGACCACCUCAAGCCGGAAAGUUCGUCAAACUCGGUCAUUUAGAUGAAGUAAAUUGUCUUAAACCAUU